rnacentral:lncRNA from 1 species
GUAUGUCCUGGAAAUACGACAUAUUCGUCUGUAGUGUGUGACUCACUUUGCUCUCUUCCUUUCAUAGUAUAUCUCAGAUGCUGCACAGCCCUCCAUGAUUUUAAAUAAUUAAAGGAUUACAGAUCACUUGCGUCACCUACGUCAUGUGAGCUUCACACAGCACACAGAGAUGGGACCAUCAGACAGCGACAGCAUCAGAAAGGAUGGAGUUAAACUUUGGAAAUAAUGCUCAACUGUAGGAGUUCAGACGCUGAGGACCAAGAACCUUCUGUGAUGGGACAGCUAAAGACCAAGAGGGCUGUUGUGGCUGGCAGGAUCGCGUCCAUUGUCUUGUGCUACCCUGAAAAUAGAAGUGAGGACUGUACGGAGCAGAGAAAGCUCUGAAGGAGGAGCAUUCUGGGAGAACUAUGCUGUUGAUGUGGGCACGGCCACAUCAAGGACCUCAGAGCCUCCGGUCUGUGGAGGAACAGCAAAGCCUUCCCCUUGGCACAGUGAGUUGAGAGGUAUGAUAGAACCUUCCUCAGGGGACUGCCUGCCAGUAUUGACCGUGCGUGUAGAACAUGCACGGC